UUUGCCAGCAGCGUGGGAUGUUAUUGUGUGUCAGUUACCAUGACAGUUUAAAUGGUUUAAAACAAAACUUUGCAAGAAAAACAUGAUUGUUAUACCCAGAUCCUGCUUCCAACAAGUCUGAUGCCUGAAUUGCUGAGAGCUGCCAAAGGCAACACCGACCUUGGGAGCUGGAGUGCAGAGGAGGUGCACGGAGGUGGUACGGGCUAGAGGACAGCGCCCCUGUCCCAUCCACAAACCUAACCCAGCUUCCCAUUGCCCACAAGAUACAGGCAGGUCCCUGCAUAAAAGGAGAAAUAAAGCACCAAGGUGACGAAAAGAGGUGAUGCUCACUUGCCUCAUGCAGCAUCUGAGAGCUCAAGAGGAAGAAAACCAUGCAAAGAGGGAGACAGCAGCUAUGGGGAGGGAUUCCAUCUCUACUUAAUCAGCAUCUGGUUUUUGUUUUGGACACAGCUUUGGGAAAUGGAGAAGCCUCACAAGCAGGAUUUGGCACUGGCAGUGCUCAAGUCCCAGGAAACAAGCAGGGACAGGGGAAAAAAAUCAUCCAGAAACAGGAUGGAGAAGGAAGUGACAGGGCAUGGCCAGCACAGAGGGGAAAUUCCAAGGAUUAACUGUGCCUGACCAACCCAACAACCUGCUAUAAGGAGAUGCUUGGCCUGGUGGAUGGGGGAGCACAGUGUAGCUUACUCUGACUUUAAAAGGGCUUUUGACACAACUGUCUGAGUAAUCCACACAGGCACAUCACCUUGAGACAGUUCAGAUGGCUGCAUGGCACCAGGCAGGACACACUCAGGGGGCUGUGAGCUACAGCACAAAGCCCAGCUGGCAGCUCACUACUCACAGCAUUCCUCAGGGGUCAUUAAUGGGGCUAAUAUCCUUCAAUGCCUCUAUUUAGAGCCUGAAGACAGAACACACCCUCAGCAAAGGACACCAGGUUGUGGGCAUGCCUGACACAUGGGGCAGGGCUGUUCAAAGGGACCCCCCUCCUCAACAGGCUGGAGAAAUGGCCCAGCAGAAACCGCGUGAAACUCAAAGGUAAAUGCAAAUUCCUGCUCUUGAGCAACCUCACCUCGGCUGGUCCUGCUCUGAGGCAGGACCACGCAUCCUCAGAGGUGCCUUCCUACCUGAAUUACUCUGCCAUUCAGAGUAAGCCAUGCAGACAGCUUCCUGCCUACAGGGGACUGGCAAGACUUUUCCAGGCACAUUGUAACCUCUUGAAAUCAGCGUAAAGUGCACGGUAAACUC
ensembl:lncRNA